AUUGAACGCUGGCGGCAGGCCUAACACAUGCAAGUCGAACGGUAGCACAGAGAGCUUGCUCUCGGGUGACGAGUGGCGGACGGGUGAGUAACGUCUGGGAAACUGCCCGAUGGAGGGGGAUAACUACUGGAAACGGUAGCUAAUACCGCAUAACGUCGCAAGACCAAAGUGGGGGACCUUCGGGCCUCACACCAUCGGAUGUGCCCAGAUGGGAUUAGCUAGUAGGUGGGGUAAUGGCUCACCUAGGCGACGAUCCCUAGCUGGUCUGGGAGGAUGACCAGCCACAAUGGAACUGAGACACGGUCCAGACUCCUACGGGAGGCAGCAGUGGGGAAUAUUGCACAAUGAGCGCAAGCCUGAUGCAGCAAUGCCGCGUGUAUGAAGAAGGCCUUCGGGUUGUAAAGUACUUUCAGCGGGGAGGAAUGCGGUGAAGUUAAUCGCUUCACCGAUUGACGUUACCCGCAGAAGAAGCACCGGCUAACUCCGUGCCAGCCGCCGCGGUAA
rnacentral:rRNA from 1 species